GAAACCCUUUGCAGCUGCGCUUCAACAAUUCAAGUACUCUCCCAUCUCUUCCUUUCUUCGUCUUGCUAUAUAUAUAGAUGAAAAAGAAAAAUAGAAAAAUCAAGAACAUUAACAACAAGUUUAAGCAUACGGAGAGAUGUCUCUAAUUUACCAUAAAACCUGCACAUCUCUGUCAAUGAUUCUUUGCCUAAACCUCAUUUUUUCACAGUACUUAUCAUCAUCAUCUGGAAUCCAGCAGCCAUCAGCAUAUGACAUCCUCAGUGACUACAGCUUUCCUAUAGGGCUACUCCCCAAGGGAGUUAUUGGCUAUGAUCUUGACAAGACAACCGGUAAAUUUUAUGCAUUCUUGAAUGGUACUUGCAGCUUUUCUCUUGAAGGAUCUUAUCAGAUAAGAUACAAGUCAACCAUCAAAGGGUACAUAUCUAGAGGGAAGCUUUCGAGCUUGGAGGGUGUUAGUGUGAAGUUGUUUUUCAUGUGGAUUGAUAUCAUUGAGGUGUCAAGAAAUAGGGAUGAUCUGGAAUUCUCUGUUGGGAUUGCUGGUGCUGGAUUUCCUAUUGAUAAUUUUGAGGAGUGUCCCCAAUGUGGGUGUGGUUUGAAUUGUGGAGAUCAGAGGAAAGUCAGCAAGUUCAGAUCUAACCCUUUUGUAUCUUCUUCAUAGGGAAGCAUGAAUCAAAGAUUUCAAUCUCAUGAAAUGUUUUUGUUGGAAUUCUUGAUUGUGAUUAUUGUUUGAUUGGAAUGAAUUGAAUUGGGUUAUGUUUAUUGUCACAAAUUCUUGCUGCUUUUUCCAUUCAAUUUUUUUU
rnacentral:misc_RNA from 1 species